GCUCAGCGACGACAAAUUUCCCACCUGUUGAGUUCAACAGGAUUUGAACCCAAACGUUUAUCGUCACAGGCGAAACGACCUACCACUAAACCAUCAGCGGACGACUUGAAAUAGUGUAAAAUUAAAAACAAAAGUACAUUGUUGUGACCUGCUCAUCUCAUGAGGUGAAGAAAUCUCUACAAGGCGGUGCUAAGCCGUGCUAAGCCGUCUUUCAUUUCGGGAAAAAGAAAAAAAAAAUUUUG